rnacentral:rRNA from 1 species
UACACUCCUACGGGAGGCAGCAGUGGGGAAUUUUGGACAAUGGGCGAAAGCCUGAUCCAGCAAUGCCGCGUGAGUGAAGAAGGCCUUCGGGUUGUAAAGCUCUUUUGUCAGGGAAGAAGCGGUGAGAGCUAAUAUCUCUUGCUAAUGACGGUACCUGCAGAAUAAGCACCGGCUAACUACGUGCCAGCAGCCGCGGUAAUACGUAGGGUGCAAGCGUUAAUCGGAAUUACUGGGCGUAAAGCGUGCGCAGGCGGUUUUGUAAGUCUGAUGUGAAAUCCCCGGGCUCAACCUGGGAAUUGCAUUGGAGACUGCAAGGCUAGAAUCUGGCAGAGGGGGGUAGAAUUCCACGUGUAGCAGUGAAAUGCGUAGAUAUGUGGAGGAACACCGAUGGCGAAGGCAGCCCCCUGGGUCAAGAUUGACGCUCAUGCACGAAAGCGUGGGGAGCAAACAGGAUUAGAAACCCUUGUAGUCCCAUG